rnacentral:rRNA from 1 species
CCCUUAGAUGUCCUGGGCCGCACGCGUGCUACACUGACGCCUACAGCGAGUACUUCCCAGCCCCGAGAGGCGGCUGGUAAUCAGCAAUAGGCGUCGUGAUGGGGAUAGAUCUUUGGAAUUAUGGAUCUUGAACGAGGAAUGCCUAGUAAGCGCAGGUCAUUAGCCUGCGCUGAUUACGUCCCUGCCCUUUGUACACACCGCCCGUCGCUACUACCGAUUGAAUGAUUUAGUGAGGACUUCGGACUGGGACCGAUGCGGCUUUCGGGCUGCGUCGGUAUUCUGGAAAGAUGUCCAAACUGUNUNAUUUAGNGGAAGUAAAANUCGUANCA